rnacentral:rRNA from 1 species
GACGAAGGUGGCUAGCGUUGUUCGGAAUCACUGGGCUUAAAGCGCACGUAGGCGUCCCGUUAAGUGCUUUGUGAAAUCCCCCGGCUCAACCGGGGAACUGCUGGGCAUACUGGCGGGAUUGAGGCAGGUAAGGGUGCAUGGAACUCUUGGUGGAGCGGUGAAAUGCGUAGAUAUCAAGAGGAACGCCGGAGGUGAAGACGAUGCACUAGGCCUGUCCUGACGCUGAGGUGCGAAAGCCAGGGGAGCAAACGGG